GAAAGGGUGUGGAUACCGAAACGCACCUGGGAUUUAAAGAUCCCCUAUUAAA
ncrna:unclassified sequences S4-Clostridia ribosomal protein leader